CAGGGGUGCAGCGGAGGGGCUGAGCAUGUGCUGUUUGGUAUUCACAAUGGCCUGGGUUUCAUCCUCAGCACCAAAAGGGUAAAAAAGUGCUUGAUCCAAAGCAGGCAGGGUGGAUUGUAUUACUGUACAGUUUGCUGCCAGCCACUCUUUUCUCUUUUACAAAUGACGCUUCCUUCCCACCCAUUCGCUGCAGGCUCAUUCACGUCACUUGCAUUGACCAAUAGCACAAGAGCAGAGUGUCACGUGUGUACCAGUCGGGAGGUUAAAUCCAGGAACUUCCUAGGCUCCUGUUAAACUAUUUGCAGUUUGAAAUCGGAUAUGGUAACAUGACCAUCGAAAGAGCCAACACUAUAAGUCAAGACUUCACUCCCCCUUCCCCGAAGUUGGUUUAGCAGCUCUCCAGAGAGUGGUCUCAGCACGCCUCCGGGAGACUGACGCUGGAGGAUCACAAAGUCGAACCCGUCCUGGGCAAUUUCUAGACUUGGCGAGACCUGGUCUCAAAGUGAAAAAUGUAAAGGGGCUGGGGCGGGGGGAUGUUUCAGACUGGAGUCCAGAAUAGAGAAAACCGGCGGAGUAGCCCCCAGAGCUGCUGCAAAUGACGUAACUGCUUUGGGAAGUGGACCUCUGUUCGGAGCUCGGCGUUGCCGGGUUGUUCCUCACCCGCGCCCAGGGCAACAGAACAGGCCGCCAGGCUCUAGGCGCGGAUUUCUCUUCCCAGCCGGGGUCGAUCCGAAUCUUGGAAGCUGAAAGACCACUACGCAGGGACAGCAGCCCCUUCCCGAGCCUCGCCGAGCCCCGGGGACACCCGAGACUCGAGAAUUGGGUUCUGUGUCUUUAAGGGGAGCGGGGGCUUCCGGCGGGGNNNNNNNNNNNNNNNNNNNNGGCUGGGUCCAGCGCCUCCUCGCCGCGGCUCCACUCCCACCCCAAGCCUUGCAGGCCACGCCCUCCGCCGUCCCCGCCGGGUCCCUCCUUCCCCUCAGUGCUGAACAAAGGGACUCGGUCCUCCAGACGCCCUGGGCGGUUCUCUGUGAACACUCACUGUCCGCCCAGGACCCGAAGCUUCCCAAAGUCGAGGGUUUUUGGCCCUGGGAAAGGAAGAAAGAAGGACUCGCCCCAGCUGAACUUGUGAUCAGCAGCGACUACAAGGACACCGUGUUUCAGAGCCGCUGCUGUAGAAAUAGCUUAUCCUUCCCAGUUGUGUUUAAUCAGAGAGCAUCUGGACUUUUAUCAUCUCCCUGUCUCUGAUUCAGACGCUGUCAGAUGACACAGGCACUGGAGAGCUCACUGAGAUGCUGCUGAAACGAUGCCCAGUGAAGAGCUUGCGCUGACCAUGGAAGAAAGCAGCAGUCAAGAUGAAGCUGAGGCGCAGGUCGGCCCGUGUCCUGGCCGCCUGGGGGCGUCCUACGCCGAGGCCUGGGGGUACUUCCACCUGGCAUCUUCGCGCCCCGGGUACCCGUCGGGCCGCUGGGCCACCUGCCGGCUGUGCGGG
rnacentral:lncRNA from 1 species